GGUUUUCGCGUGUGUUUCGUUCGUGCGCCCAAACUGUCGGCGCACGCAGUCGCGCCACGUGUUGGCCAGAGCGCACACAGGCGACUGGAGCCCAUGGGCCCAACUGCUACCUCACGGCCAAACGGACGAACCGAUUCGCAAUCGCAUUCCAUCGGUGAAACGGUACAGUCGCACGCUCUCUCGCACGGGGUUUCGGCUAGCGCAGUGUGGCGCGACACUUGACUGCACUUUGGUAGGCUCUGGUCUGGCCUGUUGUGGGCUGUUGUGGUGUGUGUCUGAAGUGUGGUGAAGAAUACAUUGGAACAAUCUUUGAUUCUUGUGCUGUGUGACAUAUGCCUUUUGUGAUGUUUCAGUGAUGUCUUCUAGACAGUUGAGUCCUGUUACCUGAUGUUAGGAUACUUGAAAGGAUCUUGUAUGUGUUUUGGUAUUAGUAGUAUCACCGUGAAUACAUAUCAUAGAAUUCGUCAGAAUCUAACCAUUUCCAGUUAAUCCUACAAGAAGACUAUCAUCGGGAGCCGCCUGAAUCGUCAGAUGAACCGCUACGUCGUCGUUGCCCUUUUUUUUUUGAAUGUUAGAAGAUUACGAAACCGGAGGCAAGAUCUAACAAAAACGAAGAAAUUUGCACGAGAACGUCGCGAACACUGCAGCACGCAAAAUGAACCACCACGAGAGAGGAAGAAGGGGUAUAGAGCGCGUGUGUGUGUGUGCGUGUUUCAUUACUCUCCCAUAGUAAGCUGUGCUGCUCCCCUACGCAAAUUUUCGUCGGAGCGUCGUCAUUGCGUGUGUUUGAAGCUGCCAAACCCUGCCCCGAAACGAAAAACGCACCCCAAAAAUUGUUCGAAUAGGGGAGAAUUAGUGAGAAUUCACCAGUGCGUGUGCGUGUGUGUCCAUUUUGAGACGGGGAGAGAGAGAGAGAGAGAGAGAGCAGAAAUUCAUGAGUGCGCUAAACUUCGCGAACGAAACCGAGAGAAGGAGAGAGCUCACAUAAGAGGGGUUAAAAAGAAGGAUGAAGAGAGCGCGUACGUACAGCGGAAUGUAUUCUUGAGCGAAAGCGAGAGGCAUCAGAGCAACCUGAAGCGAGAGAUACAACAGCAAACAAAAAAAAACAGAAAAAACCCGGAAGUACCGCAACCCCCGUUUAUGUCAAAAACGCAACCCCUAUCGUGCGGCGAUCGGGGGUAGGGGUGAGAUCGAGCGCGAGCGUUUCGUGAGAGAAAACUACCGAAAAACCCUCUCCUUCGGCGCGAGAGCGAAACGCGCCCUGGCUCGUGGGGGGAUGUUCAGCGUUCAGGGCAACCGAUCGGAUGCCUCCGGUUUUAUUGAAGUUUGAAUUUGGGCAGCGUUCGGAUCGGGGUAGUACAGCCUCUCGUGCACUGGCUGGCAGCUCGGUCGUGCCUCCGCUGCUCCCCAGUGUGUAUGUGUGUCCGAGUGUGUUCCUGUGUAUGUGUAUGUGUGUGUGUGUGUGUGCACAUACACACGGGGUGAUGGCGCUUUUGCGUUCGCGGCUGGCCGUCACUUUUCCUUGUGAAGGGAUCCUGGACAGUGGUUAGUGCCGCUAGUAGUAGUGCCCGUUUACCGUCGUCGUCCCGUACAGUACGCUUUCUCCACCCGGGUCGUGUGGUGGUCCUUUCGCCGUCCGGUUUGGGGUGCAAUGUCCUUUCGAAUGCUGAACCAACAACAUCAUCAGCAGCAGCAGCCGUAGCCGUAUCCUUAGCAACUAUCUUAGUUUGCAGUGUUAUAAGUGUGAGCUACAUGCAUCGAAGUUUUGUGGAAUCGGAUCGAGAACUAGUAUUUUAGAAGUAGUUUAGAAGUUUGUGUUUUGAGUGAUUUUUUUAAAUAAUGAAACCGGUCGCUAAACUUUCCAGUGUUUGCAGUAAUGGAUGUGCGUGCUUUACUUCCUAUGCCAUCGUUGAGUGCAGUUUUGAGUUGCAAUUUUUCGGCCAGCUGAGUGCAUUCGUUUGAGUCGCUUUGUGUUUCAUCGGUUUUUGCUUGGUUGGUUUCUGUUUUGCAAGUGUAUUGUGGAAUUGAAACGAUUGACACUUCCUUCAAAUCAACGCUGCCGAUGUUUAGUUGCCGCCGUGUACACACAAGAGUGCUGCUUGCAGUGCAUUUUUUGUUAAUUUUCUGUUUGAAUACAACGCUGAGUGUUUGCAAGAAAGCUGCUGCUGCUGCUGUUAUAAAAAAGAUGCUAGUAAUUCACUUUCCCCAUCGGCCCAACCCAACCGCACCAGGCUCCCGAUUAGAAACGUCCUCUUGGUACGGACUGUGGUGGUGACCAAAAGUCAGCUGUAAUUUCGGAGAAUCAACAUCGCCACUGCGCCAUGUACACAGUGCACUCUCACCACCAGUUUACGUGCGUGGCUGUGGGCAAUCACAUCACUUGCUUUUCUAAAUUCAUCAACCGAGCAGCGCGCGUCCUGGACUGCAGUUUGGAGCUGCAAUUUAGCAGACCAUGUCACAGGUGCUACAAACUGAAUGUCGGAAGCGUCGGAUUCUUUAGGCAGAGACCGAGGCUCAAGGGAUAAACCGAAACGCCGAUUAUUUCACCACGGAAGAGCCCGCCGUCCCGGAACGAUAAGUGACCCGCCAUAUCCUUCGCCAAACUACUGUUCACGGGCUCCGAUGGAGCACACACGCGCGGCCCACUCGUAGUUUGGUGUAGAUAAUCUUGGCGAAGACGUUUUGAAGCAAGAGCAAGCGCAGAAGGGAGAAACGAUCACUCAACGGAGCCGGAAACGUUCAACCGCGCCCGUACCAGUUUUUUUGGCCUGUCUACCGGAAGUGCGGCUCGGAAACGCACGUAAAUAAGGAUGGGUAAGAGAUAUUUCCGUUUUUUCCCUUUGAAGAGCAGCGUUCCGAGAGACCAACCGUGGGUAAGAGAGAGAGAUAGAGAGAGUGAGAGAGAGAACGGGUUAGACUGGCAACUGAUUUUCGGGGAGUUUAUUUCAUUUGUGAAUCGCUUCUUUUUUUUUGCUAUACCCGCGCGCACGCCGCGAUUUUCCCACCACCUCCAAUGGGACGUGAGUUUUUCGCUUGCGAUUUACGUUUUCCAGUGAAAAAUAUCUUCCCCAAAUGUGUUUUUGUUCGCUUUCUUCUUUUUGUUUAGCUACUACGCCGA